CAUAUCGCAACGUGUCGCACUAUAAUGUAUGUGUGUAUCGAUUCCUCCAGCUGUAAUAAUCAUGUUUUCUCCGGCCACAGCUUCUGUACUCGCUCCGACGGUUAUUGUUACUCCGUCUUGUAUGUCCGGAUUUCCGGCCUUUCCUAUUCCAACAAUCUUGCCAUCCUUUAUUCCAAUGUCAGCUUUUAUAAUUCCGCUGUAAUCUAAUAUUAAUGCAUUCGUUAUCACCAUGUCUAGAGCAUUAACUUCUUGCCCACUACAGCCCAUGCCAUCUCUAAG
rnacentral:sRNA from 1 species